rnacentral:tRNA from 1 species
GGUAAAAUGGCUGAGGAAAGCAUUAGACUGUAAAUCUAAAGACGAGGCAGAGGAGCCUCUUUUACCA